AGCGAACGUUAGCGGCGGGCUUAACACAUGCAAGUCGAGCGAGAAAGGUAGCAAUACCCUGUAAAGCGGCGGACGGGUGAGGAACACGUAGGUAAUUUUCCGUUCAGCGGGGGACAACGUUUCGAAAGGAACGCUAAUACCGCAUACGUUCACUGGGACUUCGGUCUUGGUGAGGAAAGCUAGGUAGCAAUAUCCGGCACUGAAUGAGAAGCCUGCGUCGCAUCAGCUAGUUGGUGGGGUAAUGGCCUACCAAGGCUAAGACGCGUAGCUGGUCUGAGAGGAUGAUCAGCCACACUGGGACUGAGACACGGCCCAGACUCCUACGGGAGGCAGCAGUGGGGAAUAUUGGACAAUGGGCGAAAGCCUGAUCCAGCCACGCCGCGUGAGUGAUGAAGGCCUUCGGGUCGUAAAGCUCUGUGGGAGAGACGAACCGCCAGGGGUUAAUAGCCGCUUGGCAUGACGGUAUCUCCUUAGCAAGCACCGGCCUAACUUCGUGCCC
rnacentral:rRNA from 1 species